CCUACGGGGGGCUGCAGUGGGGAAUAUUGGACAAUGGGGGCAACCCUGAUCCAGCCAUGCCGCGUGUGUGAAGAAGGCCCUCGGGUUGUAAAGCACUUUCAGUGAGGAAGAACGCCUGGUGGUUAAUACCCAUCAGGAAAGACAUCACUCACAGAAGAAGCACCGGCUAACUCCGUGCCAGCAGCCGCGGUAAUACGGAGGGUGCGAGCGUUAAUCGGAAUUACUGGGCGUAAAGCGCGCGUAGGUGGCUUGAUAAGCCGGUUGUGAAAGCCCCGGGCUCAACCUGGGAACGGCAUCCGGAACUGUCAAGCUAGAGUGCAGGAGAGGAAGGUAGAAUUCCCGGUGUAGCGGUGAAAUGCGUAGAGAUCGGGAGGAAUACCAGUGGCGAAGGCGACCUUCUGGACUGACACUGACACUGAGGUGCGAAAGCGUGGGUAGCAAACAGGAUUAGAUACCCGAGUAGUC
rnacentral:rRNA from 1 species